GAUGAACGCUGGCGGCGUGCCUAAUACAUGCAAGUCGAGCGAACAGACGAGGAGCUUGCUCCUCUGACGUUAGCGGCGGACGGGUGAGUAACACGUGGAUAACCUACCUAUAAGACUGGGAUAACUUCGGGAAACCGGAGCUAAUACCGGAUAAUAUAUUGAACCGCAUGGUUCAAUAGUGAAAGACGGUUUUGCUGUCACUUAUAGAUGGAUCCGCGCCGCAUUAGCUAGUUGGUAAGGUAACGGCUUACCAAGGCAACGAUGCGUAGCCGACCUGAGAGGGUGAUCGGCCACACUGGAACUGAGACACGGUCCAGACUCCUACGGGAGGCAGCAGUAGGGAAUCUUCCGCAAUGGGCGAAAGCUUGACGGAGCAACGCCGCGUGAGUGAUGAAGGUCUUCGGAUCGUAAAACUCUGUUAUUAGGGAAGAACAAAUGUGUAAGUAACUAUGCAUGUCUGGACGGUACCUAAUCAGAAAGCCACGGCUAACUACGU
rnacentral:rRNA from 1 species